rnacentral:ncRNA from 1 species
AUAUAGAUUGAUUCUGUCUAUUUAAAUUAGCUAUUUAUAUAAUUUUAUAUGUAAAUUUUUGUGUGAGGUUUUAUUUAUCUAAAUGAUAAAUUUCAUUUUAAUUUGCAGUUUUUUAUUUUGUAUAAUUUUUGAAAUAAAGAUACAGUUAAUUUUAUUAGAAUUGUUUAAGAUUGUGCCAGCAUACGCGGUUAUACAGUUGAUUCAUGUUAAUUUUUUUGGUUUAUAUUUAUUAUGUUGUUUGGAAAUAAUUAUAAUUUUAUUAGGUGAAAUUUUAAUUUUAUUUAUUUGUUUUUGGUUUAGAAUAUAUGAAAUUUAGUUUUAUAAACUAGGAUUAGAUACCCUAUUAUUAUUAAAUUUAAAUUUAUAAUCAUGGUAUUAAUAGUUAUGAUCUUUAAAUUAAAAGAAUUUGGCGGUAAUUUAGUCUUUUCAGAGGAACCUGUCCUGUAAUCGAUAAUCCACGUUGGAUUUUACUUUAAUUUAUUGUUUGUAUAUCUCUGUUAUUGAAUGUUUUAUUAGAAUAUUUUCUUUAAUUAUUUAUUUAAUUAAUAUCAGGUCAAGGUGCAGCUAUAUUAAAGGUUGAGAUGGGUUACAUUUAAUGUUAUUUAUUGGAUUUAUAUUUUAUUUGGAUAUUAAAUUUAAUGAAACAGGAUUUGAAAGUAAUUAAUAUUAAUUUUUAUUAAUGAUUUGAGCUCUAGAUUAUGCACACAUCGCCCGUCACUCUCAUUAUUAAAAUGGGAUAAGUCGUAACAAAGUAAUUUUACUGGAAAGUGAAGUUAGAAUUUU